GAUGAAGAACGCAGCGAAAUGCGAUAAGUAAUGCGAAUUGCAGAAUUUCCGUGAGUCAUCGAAUCUUUGAACGCACAUUGCGCCCGCCAGUAUUCUGGCGGGCAUGCCUGUUCGAGCGUCAUUUCAACCAUCAAGCCCCAGGCUUGUGUUGGGGACCUGCGGCUGCCGCAGGCCCUGAAAACCAGUGGCGGGCUCGCUGUCACACCGGGCGUAGUAGAUUUUAUCUCGCUCAGGGCGUGCUGCGGGUUCCGGCCGUUAAAAAGCCUUUUUUACCCAAGGUUGACCUCGGAUCAGGUAGGAAGACCCGCUGAACUUAAGCAUAUCAAUAAGCGGAGGA
rnacentral:misc_RNA from 1 species